CUGGUUGAUCCUGCCAGUAGUCAUAUGCUUGUCUCAAAGACUAAGCCAUGCAUGUCUAAGUAUAAAUGUUAUACAGUGAAACUGCGAAUGGCUCAUUAAAACAGUUAUAGUUUAUUUGAUAAUCGAAUUUACAUGGAUAACCGUGGUAAUUCUAGAGCUAAUACAUGCUGGUUAGCCUGACUUCGAGGAAGGGCUGUAUUUAUUAGAUAACAAACCAAUAUUCUUCGUGUCUAUUGUGAUGACUCAUAAUAACUGAUCGAAUCGCAUGGGCCUUGCCCGCGAUACAUCAUUCAAGUUUCUGCCCCAUCAGCUUUCGAUGGUAGUGUAUUGGACUACCAUGGCUUUAACGGGUAACGGAGGAUUAGGGUUCGAUUCCGGAGAGGGAGCCUGAGAAACGGCUACCACAUCUAAGGAAGGCAGCAGGCGCGUAAAUUACCCAAUCCUGACUCAGGGAGGUAGUGACAAGAAAUAACGGACCGAGGCUUCACGCUUCGGGAUUGCAAUGAGUAGAAUUUAAACCCCUUUACGAGGAUCAAUUGGAGGGCAAGUCUGGU
rnacentral:rRNA from 1 species